rnacentral:tRNA from 1 species
GCCUUCGUGGUGUAGUGGUCAGCACACUCGGCGCGUAUUCGAGAGAUCCGUGGUUCGAGUCCCGGCAAGGGCA